CGCUUAAAGAGGAGCCUGCGGCAGAUUAGCUAGUUGGUAAGGUAAUGGCUUACCAAGGCUACGAUCUGUAACCGACCUGAGAGGGUGGUCGGUCACACUGACACUGAAUAACGGGUCAGACUCCUACGGGAGGCAGCAGCCGGGAAUUUUGGGCAAUGGGCGAAAGCCUGACCCAGCAACGCCGCGUGAAGGAUGAAGUAUUUCGGUAUGUAAACUUCGAAAGAAUAGGAAGAAUAAAUGACGGUACUAUUUAUAAGGUCCGGCUAACUACGUGCCAGCAGCCGCGGUAAUACGUAGGGACCAAGCGUUGUUCGGAUUUACUGGGCGUAAAGGGCGCGUAGGCGGCAGUUCAAGUCAGUUGUGAAAUCUCCGAGCUUAACUCGGAACGGUCAACUGAUACUGUUUUGUUAGAGUGCAGAAGGGGCAAUCGGAAUUCUUGGUGUAGCGGUGAAAUGCGUAGAUAUCAAGAGGAACACCUGAGGUGAAGACGGGUUGCUGGGCUGACACUGACGCUGAGGCGCGAAAGCUAGGGUAGCAAACGGGAUUAGAUACCCCGGUAGUCCUAGCCCUAAACGAUGAAUACUUGGUGUCUGGAGUAAUUUAAUUCUCCGGGUGCCGUCGCUAACGUUUUUAGUAUUCCGCCUGGGGAGUACGCACGCAAGUGUGAAACUCAAAGGAAUUGACG
rnacentral:rRNA from 1 species